CGAUGCUCUAGUUUGCCAGUCCCCCACCCCCUCUGAGUGAGACAGGUGUUAACAUCCUAGUGACCAUCUGUGCCCCUUCUCUGUUGGGGACAACAGCCUUCAUGAGGAAGAGCCUCUCCCCAGUGCCCUGCAGUGCUCUCCCCUGUGAGCUCCCAGCUCUCCUGUUCUGAAAUAGGAACCGCCUUCUCUGGGGCAAAGGAGCAGGAAAGCUGGCACAAGCCCUGUCCUGCUUGUAUGGGUUAUCUGUUGCUGUGUAAGAAAUGGUCCGCCAUCGGGGGCCUUCCCUUGGGUAGGGAGGGAUUUGGGAGCUGCUGAGCGUGGAGACUAGCAUGGGCGUGCACAGGGGCCGCUGUCAUCUGCAGCUGGAGAAUUCCACCUUUUUCUGUGGCUAUCAGCAGGAUCCCUUCCUUGAUCAUGCCCCCGUGGGUCUCUGGGGUAGAUGUUGUACCAGAGAACCCUGCUUCCUCCUGAACUUGAUACCAGAGAAGGAGGUGGAGGAAGAAAGUUGCAGUGCCUUUAAGUCGCCACGCCCUAAAAUGAGGAAAAUGAGAUGAGGGAGGUGGAGGCAGUCACAGCCAUAAGCUCAGUGCAUUUUGCUAUCAGAACAGCCUUAUAGCUGGGACCAAACCAGGGUACAAGAUAGACCUCUACCUGCUUGUCUUAGGGAGAGGUGGCAGGAAGUAAGGAUUCCCAGAUUGCAUCCUCAGCUGCCAUCUUCUCAAGAAUGCUUGCUCUGUAAGUCUCCGAGGUAGCCACCUUAAGCAUUGUUUACCACUUCUGGUUUCCUUUAGCUAAGAAUUGACUAAAGAAAUUGGGGGCAUUUCUGUGGAACUACACAAGCUUUCUAAAUAAGAACAGGCUUAGAUUCUGCAGGUUCCUGAGCUGCAGAACAAGAAGCAGUUCUCUUUCCCUUCUGCUGAUGGUCUGGAAGCCAGGGGCCACCUGAGUCAGUGCAUUAGUCAAGGUCUCCCACCCAGAAGCAACUUCUCCCUGAGCCAGGAACACCCGAGAAUGCAGAUGUUCGUGCACUUGAUAGCCCUGGUCAGUGUGGCAUGCAGACUAGCGUAUUGCCUCCUGGGUGCCCUGUUGGAAGUGUGCUCUUAAAAAACCCUGUAAGAGAAGCUUAAAAGGUAGCUCUCCAGUGCCUCACAGGACGGCUGCUGCUUCCUGCUAGCCGGUCUCACCUUCCUUAGGUGGAAGCUCUUGUUGGGUUUGAUGCGUUGCCCUUCUCUAACAGUCUCUUCCCUGUAGCCAUGCUUGUUUAGUGUGUACUUGAGGUACUAGUGGAUUGUGGGUUUCCUUCUGAUCUGAGGAGGGGCCCGGAAUGGCUUGGAUACUGUCUCCUUGGGCUUCUCAGGCCUUCUCACUGGAGCUGUGUUGCACUGAAAGUCCAGCCAGCUCGUACAAGGCUCUGGUGCUGGCAGUCAUGUAACAAGGAUGGAACCUUCUUCCCAUCUCCACCUUGAAUGUUGGCUGCCUGAGGGUGUGCCAUAAUCCAUUCAUUGCCUCCAGAAGGAAAGCACCGCUGUCUUCAUGUGGCUCAAGCCCUUUGAUGUGUUUUCUGGACUCCAUGCCCAUGGCAGCUAUUUAUCAAUCUGCGAAACUCAAUCACUGACCUGUCCUUCCCGAGGGAAGGUGGGGCCUUCCCGUGUAGCAGGGGACACCGUCUCUUGGGGAAGAAGGUUCUGUCUGAACUUGGAGUAGGUGUGGUUGCCCUAACCCCUAGCCUCUGGCGUUUAGUGCCGGGAAUUCGGGUUCCUCAGUUGGCUUGGUCCUUCAGUGCUUAGCAGUGUUUCCUUCUCUGGUAAUGGGUUUCCACGUGGUGGCUUUAAUGAGGCUAGCUCACAGAAACUUGACUGAAGACUGUAAGGAUGACUGACAGGUCCUUAUUUUUCCAUUUGACCAACCAAGACACCUUCGCCACCCUCUGAAACUGUAGCUUUCCUCCAGGCGGGUUCUGGGACCUGGUGCCUAUUGGCAGAAAGUAACUCUAGUCUUCAGGGGGCCAUGGUUCCUCCCUGCUUGCUCAGCUCUUCUUGUAGCCCUGGUGGCCGUACUGCAUGCCCAGUAGUGGGAGGGUGGCAGCAAGAGGCUGGAUGCCUGGUGGACACAUGGCUGUGCUGGUGUUUGCCCAGGGAGCCCCUAUCAGGGCUUCAGACCCAGAUCCCAUGAAUCCAGCACAGAAUGCCCAUGCUUGCCUCUGCACCCCCUUCCUCUCCACUUCAGUCUUCUGAAAACUGCCCAGCCCUGAUUUAGGGGAUAGUGGCAGGAGGCAAGGCCCGUGGGGACCACACAGGCUCACACCAAUGCCUUUGCCCCAUGCGGGCCAGCUCCAGUAAUCCCUAAGGUGACUUGAGGAGCCUCCAAGGACUCUGGUUCCCAGUUGUCCAUUUUUAGCAUCUUUAUGUUUUCUGUUUUACCCUUCCCUGCUCACUGCUGCAGUCCCAGCCGUGUGGGAUGGGGUUUCACCGCCUGCCAGCGCUUUCCCUGGCCUCCCCUCUGUUCCUCUGGUGUGCUGUGCCCCCACCCAUCCCCAGUCACUGUCAGCAAUGCCAUCCUAAGACCAUGUGUGAUUCCAUAACCGGUUUGUUUUCACUGUCCUGCCAAACAAGCAGGUGUUUGAAACUAAGAGAAAAUCCUCACCAGCGGUUGCUGUUACAGUUAAAUAAAGACCUUGAAUACUGACU
rnacentral:lncRNA from 1 species